GACGAACGCUGGCGGCGUGCCUAAUACAUGCAAGUCGAACGAGAGCGACCGGUGCUUGCACUGGUCAAUCUAGUGGCGAACGGGUGAGUAACACGUGGGUAACCUGCCCAUCAGAGGGGGAUAACAUUCGGAAACGGAUGCUAAAACCGCAUAGGUCUUCGAACCGCAUGGUUUGAAGAGGAAAAGAGGCGCAAGCUUCUGCUGAUGGAUGGACCCGCGGUGCAUUAGCUAGUUGGUGAGGUAACGGCUCACCAAGGCCGUGAUGCAUAGCCGACCUGAGAGGGUGAUCGGCCACAUUGGGACUGAGACACGGCCCAAACUCCUACGGGAGGCAGCAGUAGGGAAUCUUCCGCAAUGGACGCAAGUCUGACGGAGCAACGCCGCGUGAGUGAAGAAGGUUUUCGGAUCGUAAAACUCUGUUGUUAGAGAAGAACAAAGUGCUAGAGUAACUGUUAGCGCCU
rnacentral:rRNA from 1 species